rnacentral:rRNA from 1 species
AGAACGAACGCUGGCGGCAGGCUUAACACAUGCAAGUCGAACGAAUGCAGCAAUGCAUUAGUGGCGCACGGGUGAGUAACACGUGGAUAUCUGCCUUUUGGUUCGGGAUAACCCUGGGAAACUAGGGCUAAUACCGAAUGGUUCCUACGGGAUAAAGAUUUAUCGCCAAAAGAUGAGUCCGCGUCCGAUUAGCUAGUUGGUGAGGUAAUGGCUCACCAAGGCGACGAUCGGUAGCUGGUCUGAGAGGACGAUCAGCCACACUGGGACUGAGACACGGCCCAGACUCCUACGGGAGGCAGCAGUGGGGGAAUAUUGGACAAUGGGGGGCAACCCCUGAUCCAGCCAUGCCGCGUGAGUGAUGAAGGCCUUCGGGUUGUAAGCUCUUUUGGCGGGGACGAUGAUGACGGUACCCGCAGAAUAAGCCCGGCUAACUUCGCGCCAGCAGCCGC